UAAGAGUUCUCCACUGGAAGGUGUGUGAAGCCAGGGGAACUUAGGGAUUUACGUGUGGAAAGCGCCAAGGUAGGAGAUCGGAAUCCACCACACCAAGAUCAAAGGAUACCUCCAGGUAAGUUCAAAGUGCAGAAUUUAUUCAAAAAAAGUGUAAUUAAAGAAAAAAGGAAAAUAAAGAAUUAAAAAAUACAAUGCAAAUUAAAGGACUAUAAUGCUAAUUAGCAUUGAACAGCAGUCCUACAAAUAAAUACUGUGCCUAGGCUUCAGGACAGUACUUCACUGAGCUUACUAACUCUUCAGCAGUCAGUUACACAAUGAGAAAAAAAGGCUCCCCCACUCUAACUUACUGCCCCUUUAAAUACUGGAAGCCCCGCCCCGGGCUAAACCAAAUCUCAGCAGGUGGGUUAAAACAUCCUAAUUAAAUGCAUACAAACAUUAACAUUUUCUACAAUGUGCACAUAUUCUCACACAGGUUUAAAAUGGCCAUUUCAUCACAACAUCUACCGGUAAGUAUUCCUUUUAAUUAACUUAGUCUUUUUCUUUUUCAGGUUCUUCACUCCAGCUCCCCUCUCUCCUGCACUGCCAUGGGCCCUUCUGGCUAGUACAAGAAGAGGAACUGUAAUGGCUGCCAGUCCUUUGGAACCCCCUUCUCAGGUUCUUCACUCCAGCUCCCCUCUCUCCUGCACUGCCAUGGGCCCUUCUGGCUAGUACAAGAAGAGGAACUGUAAUGGCUGCCAGUCCUUUGGAACCCCCUUCUCAGCUUGUUUGAUGGGAUGUCUGUGCUGCCGUGCCUUCACGUUUCUACACCACUGCCACCAUCUGUAAGAGUUCUCCACUGGAAGGUGUGUGAAGCCAGGGGAACUUAGGGAUUUACGUGUGGAAAGCGCCAAGGUAGGAGAUCGGAAUCCACCACACCAAGAUCAAAGGAUACCUCCAGGUAAGUUCAAAGUGCAGAAUUUAUUCAAAAAAAGUGUAAUUAAAGAAAAAAGGAAAAUAAAGAAUUAAAAAAUACAAUGCAAAUUAAAGGACUAUAAUGCUAAUUAGCAUUGAACAGCAGUCCUACAAAUAAAUACUGUGCCUAGG